UACGUAGGGUGCAAGCGUUGUCCGGAAUUAUUGGGCGUAAAGAGCUCGUAGGCGGUCUGUCGCGUCGGCUGUGAAAACUCGGGGCUCAACCCCGAGCCUGCAGUCGAUACGGGCAGACUAGAGUGCGGUAGGGGAGACUGGAAUUCCUGGUGUAGCGGUGAAAUGCGCAGAUAUCAGGAGGAACACCAAUUGCGAAGGCAGCUCGCUGGAACGUAACUGACGCUGAGACGCGAAAGCGUGGGGAGCAAACAGG
rnacentral:rRNA from 1 species